CCUACGGGUAGCAGCAGUCGAGAAUCAUUCACAAUGGGGGAAACCCUGAUGGUGCGACGCCGCGUGGGGGAAUGAAGGUCUUCGGAUUGUAAACCCCUGUCAUGUGGGAGCAAAUUAAAAAGAUAGUACCACAAGAGGAAGAGACGGCUAACUCUGUGCCAGCAGCCGCGGUAAUACAGAGGUCUCAAGCGUUGUUCGGAAUCACUGGGCGUAAAGUGUGCGUAGGCUGUUUCGUAAGUCGUGUGUGAAAGGCGCGGGCUCAACCCGCGGACGGCACAUGAUACUGCGAGACUAGAGUAAUGGAGGGGGAACCGGAAUUCUCGGUGUAGCAGUGAAAUGCGUAGAUAUCGAGAGGAACACUCGUGGCGAAGGCGGGUUCCUGGACAUUAACUGACGCUGAGGCACGAAGGCCAGGGGAGCGAAAGGGAUUAGAUACCCGUGUAGUC
rnacentral:rRNA from 1 species